CAGCAGCCACGGUAAUCCGUAGGGUGCGAGCGUUAAUCGGAAUUACUGGGCGUAAAGCGUGCGUAGGUGGUGGUUUAAGUCCGUUGUGAAAGCCCUGGGCUCAACCUGGGAAUUGCAGUGGAUACUGGAUCACUAGAGUGUGGUAGAGGAUAGUGGAAUUUCCGGUGUAGCAGUGAAAUGCGUAGAGAUCGGAAGGAACAUCUGUGGCGAAGGCGACUAUCUGGGCCAACACUGACACUGAGGCACGAAAGCGUGGGGAGCAAACAGGAUUAGAGACCCCUGUAGUCCCUGUCUCUUAUAU
rnacentral:rRNA from 1 species